GUGGCGUCCUCUUAACGGUUUCAAUCGGAUCGAUCGUACUAUAUUCAGCGCAGUUCAUACCGGUACGCUGAAUAAAUUGUGUUUUCGUCCGAGCGACGACGACGACGACGACGACUACUUCUACAGCGGUAGUAAAUCGUGGUCCGUCCGUCCGUCAUAAUAAUAAUAUAACGUAUUAUUAUUUGUACUACACAGUUUUCCUAUCGACUCCGACACGGUUCCGCGGGCGGUCAGUAUGUAAGUACCUAUGGUAAACUACAAUAUUAUGCGUACACUAUUAUAAUAGACGUACUACCUACGUGGCAAUAAUAAUAACCCGCCGCGAUCGAGUCCACAGACAGGUACAUAGACGUUAUAGUAAUGGUGUGUGCAAUAGCGAUGUCCACCGCGCCGUGGUUCGUCGGAAACGAAGCACUUCACACAGACUUCAGACUCCCGAUGGUUAAAUCCUACAUACAGAAUCUCUCAGUCAACUUCUUUGCAGGCCAACUAAACAACGCCAAAAGUGCAAAAUAUUUCAAACUCAACGACAAGCCUACCCUCCGACGUCUCAAGCGCGGACGUCCUCGUGAUGCCCUUUCUCAACGUCAAUAAUAUAAUAUGUAGGUAUAUAUAUA